AUUUUGUCUUGUCUCGCCUUUUCAUGUCAUUCAACAUUUCAGCUUAGAGAAUGACAAACAGUAUGAUUUCAGUAUUGGAGUAACAUUAAUUUCACCCAAGGAAAAGAACUACAUGGUGUCAGGAAUCUGCCAGCUCUGCCUUUCUCUCCUUUCUCCGCAGUUGGCUGGAGCUGACAGGUGGGCAUGGUACACACCUGUGGCUUGUUCAGCGGCAUGCGGCUCUGCUAUUUAAGCAGCACUCUGACAGCUGAUGGACGCCAGAGUGUUAACCUUGUUGGUCUUUUCUCGUUAUGAAAACUGUUCCAGUGAUUCCUCGUGCUCUGAUGUUUUCAGUGGAAGAUCUCCGGUUCAGACUGUUCUGGAUCUACCUCUGAAUAAUCCCUCCAGCUCCCUUGGUGGUACCAAGCCGGGCUGGAGAGCCUUUUAAGUCCUUCUGGUUCCAUCAGCUGCCCCCGGAUUCCUCCUCGGCCGCUGCUGCUCGGGCCCCUCCUCACAGACUUCAAUCACCUGCCCACCUGUCGCUCAGUCACCUGCCAACUUCUCUGGAGGUUUCUUAAUCAAUCAGUCCUGCCUGCGUUGAUAGUCCACCUGCUCACCGUGCCGCAGCUCCCAGUGUUUGGUUCCCUCGCUGUUUGAUUAAACGUCUGAAAAUCGCUCUUGCCUUCUGUGUUGAUUCU